UGAGGAAUAUUGGUCAAUGGGGGCAACCCUGAACCAGCCAAGUCGCGUGAAGGAUGAAGGUCUUAUGGAUUGUAAACUUCUUUUACACGGGAAUAAAGCGGGGGACGUGUCCCCCUUUGCAUGUACCGUGUGAAUAAGGAUCGGCUAACUCCGUGCCAGCAGCCGCGGUAAUACGGAGGAUCCGAGCGUUAUCCGGAUUUAUUGGGUUUAAAGGGUGCGCAGGCGGGAUGUUAAGUCGGCGGUGAAAUUUUGCAGCUCAACUGUAAAAGUGCCUUCGAUACUGGCCUUCUUGAGUGUGGAUGAAGUAGGCGGAAUUUGUGGUGUAGCGGUGAAAUGCUUAGAUAUCACGAGGAACUCCGAUUGCGCAGGCAGCUUACUAAACUACAACUGACGCUCAUGCACGAAGGCGUGGGGAUCAAACA
rnacentral:rRNA from 1 species